CUUUUGUUCCUGUUUUUUGCAUUUUUUUUCAGGGUCUCUGAACUAGUGAGAAGAGGGAAUUAUCAUCACCUGAUGACCUGCUCCGAAUACUUGCAACACAGUGAACUCCAAACUACAUUUCAUACAAAGAGUUGGACUAUUUAACUUGAAGUAAAUAUCUUUACUGUCAUUUGUAGUGAUGAUGAUACAGCGUUUUGUUCAAGAUAAAUAACAUUUGUUUACAUUUAGAACAUCACACAGGCUUCUUGUACAUCAUUCAACUCAGUCAAGGUAUGUCUUCGUUACACUGGUGACAACCAAAUCGAAAAAUGCUUAUUGCUAAAGAAAGAAAAACUAAAGUCAACAUCCAUGCUGGAGAAAGUUAAGAUAAAUAGAUAGGGAACAAUAUUAAAAGAUAAAAUGACUGAAAGAUUCAACCCAUUUCUAGGCUUUGAUAACCUCUUCAGUAGGCCUAGCAGAGAGAUUGACACUAUAUGACCGUCUUUAUAAAGAAAGAACACUAACCCUCUCAGACCUAGUUACUUGUGUCUAACUUUACCCUCCACCUGGGUUCUUUCUUGAGCAAAAAAUAAAUAGUUGCAUAUACUCAAGAGUAACGAUUGCAGUCAAAUUAAUGGGCAGCAUCGGCUGCAUCCUUUUUUCUGUGUGUUUUAUUAAGAAUCAAGCAGAGAUGACGUUUAACCUAUUCCCGCUAUUGCAGAAAUACUGCAUGACAGAGUUAAACCUACGACUACAAAAAGUUUAAGUUUAAAACUCCUAAUUUCAAUAAUCUAAUUGCCCAAUAUAUUUUGGUGUUAGGUUUAGUAGUUGCGUUUGUAAGCGAGAGUUCAAUUCCCGAAUGAGUCAAACUAUAUAUUCGCAUGUUCAAGCUGAACUAGAAAGCGACACCACAAGUAGAAGAGUAACUGAUCAGAGA
rnacentral:lncRNA from 1 species